rnacentral:rRNA from 1 species
CCAGACUCCUACGGGAGGCAGCAGUGGGGAAUAUUGGACAGUGGGGGGAACCCUGAUCCAGCGACGCCGCGUGAGUGAAGAAGUAUUUCGGUAUGUAAAGCUCUAUCAGCAGGGAAGAAAGAAAUGACGGUACCUGACUAAGAAGCCCCGGCUAACUACGUGCCAGCAGCCGCGGUAAUACGUAGGGGGCAAGCGUUAUCCGGAUUUACUGGGUGUAAAGGGGGCGCAGACGGCGAUGCAAGCCAGGAGUGAAAGCCCGGGGCCCAACCCCGGGACUGCUCUUGGAACUGCGUGGCUGGAGUGCAGGAGGGGCAGGCGGAAUUCCUAGUGUAGCGGUGAAAUGCGUAGAUAUUAGGAGGAACACCGGCGGCGAAGGCGGCCUGCUGGACCGUAACUGACGUUGAGGCUCGAAAGCGUGGGGAGCAAACAGGAUUAGAUACCCUUGUAAU